rnacentral:misc_RNA from 1 species
AACUGCCUUUGCCUUCGUCUUCGUUUUCGUCUUCUCCAUAGGCUCGUGAGAGAGAGUUUCUAAAGCUUUAAAACCCAUCACUUACAUUGCCCAAAAAGAAGAAGAAGAAAAGCUUGGAAGAGCAGCUGCUUAGAGAGUAUCAUCACUGGCUUAAUUAAAGCCUAAGAUUUAGAUUAAUUUCAUAUCUUAAUAAUAAUAAUAAUAAUAA